GUGACUUGAUAAAAAGAGGUAGAGAUGUAGGACUAUAUAGCGUUAGUUAUAAACUUUUGGGUAUAAGGUUCUAUGCUCGUCGUACACUUUAUGUGAUUACGAUCUCGAACCAGGACAAAGAAGAUCAUACAUUUGUCAUGAACAAAGAGAGAUUCUGAAAGCCUUAUUUGACCAGGGAAUAACGAGGAGAGGGUCGCCUUUGAUGGCUGAGGCAGCCACCUGAACUGGUCUGUCGGAGAGUGGUGGAGGUUAUCAAGUUGGAAGGUAGGGGGUCGACACAGCUUUCCUUGUUUACAACCCCGAGGACCCCAUACCAGUCAGCACAGCCUCAUCUGGGAGGGGAAAGGAAUUUGUUGAGGGCCAAGUUCUGAUCGCCAAGUUUUCUGUACACUUUUCUGAUACCAAAGUUACCAUAUUUUUUAAAUAUGUGUAACACUUAACCUCAAGCAUACAGAUGUAGGAUCUUCAUUUGAUCAUCCAGGUGCAGGACAACUUUUAUGCAAUGCAGGACAUUUUUAACGUAUAGUGUAUUUGAGGUUUGUAAAGACUUCUGAAGUUUGUAAUUUCCACUUAGAAAUGUCAGACUUGAUUUUCCCUUGCGAUAAAUGUAUCAACCCCCAGCAAAAAUAUAAAUUCAUUAAAAUCCACAUACCACAUUUUACUUUUACUGCAUGAUUAUUUUCCUGCUGUAGCAAACUGACUCAAAUUAAGAUCCUACAUCUGUACAUCUAUAAUGCCUUUAAACACACUCAUACAGCACUGUGCCUCUUUUAUUGUUACAUCUUGGCAAACCUGCAGCUUCACAGUCAAGGCUAGGGUGCAAGGAGUACAAGCUUUAUUCAACCAGAAGUAUAGUAUGUACCAUUUUAUUUGAAAUAAACUAUUAAAAUGUACUGUAUAUCUGUGAUUCAACAAUUAAAUAACAGUCUUGCUCCGCUUUUAAGCAAGCUUAAAUUUAACCACUAAAAUUCAAAGACAGAGUUCUGGAUACAAGGGCUGACAUUUGAUUUAUAAAAACAUGUGGUGGCUGUGCCUUGUUGGUUUACAUUCAAGUAAGCAGAUUCAUGGAUCACUGGUAGAAGCUUGGAAUAAUGCGUACACUUGAUCUUCCUUCACUUGUUUCUGUUAUGAUGAAGCAGGUGGACAAGGCAGAGUUCCAUAUAUGGCUGUGGCUGCCAAAAGGGUGGUCAUUGAAGUAGAGGGUAUGCCAGGUGGGAUAGAAUUUAAAAGCCCUCCCACUAUGGCAUGGACCAACUAUCUUCCAUUUUGGAGGCAGGCCCUGGCAUCAAGUUCACAAUAAGUAAGAUGCAAUCAAUGCUCUCUACAAUGUUUCAAUGCGGAAUUGUAAUGUCUUGGUCAUUGAGACGAACAACAUUGACAUGUACAGUACCGGCAGUGACUUGACCCAUUACUUUACACAAUCAGGACAUUCCCUUUGAACAGAUACUCAAUGUGGCCACUGCUCUCACGAAAGGGCAACGGUGAGCUUUACUAUAUAUGGCCAUCCACCACUUGUUGUUUUUUUCUGGGUAAAUGUGUCUGCUGAUUAUGAAAAGAUGGAGCAGAUUUUAGAAUAUCUGUUUGCAACUGAGAGUGGUGCUGGGCCUAGAGCUGGAGAUGGGAGUGGAGCUGGAGCUGGGCCUGG